AGCAGCUUCCCAGGAUGAUGCUGUGAAGAGCUGGGAGGUGGCAGGUACAGGGGUGGCACACCUGAGCUGUUCCUGGCUGCUCUGGAACAUCCCCCUGAAGCUGACAUUUAUGGCCUCAAGAAGAAGCUUUGGAUGUGGUGCCAGCACAACAGCAGUGAGAGAAAACAAGGCAAGUACCUCCAAGAUGCAGAACAACCAGCAAGUUAAAAAACAGCAUCACAAGGAGGUCCUAAGAUGGGGCUUGCUCCAGUUUUCCUGCUGAGCAUGUGUUUAGGAAUUGCUGCUAAAAAAAAGUCAGAGAGGAUGGUAGUUGCUGUGCUGUCACAUGGCCUGAUAGAAUGCAGAAUCUGCUUAGCAUUCUUGAAGGGAAAUUAUCCAGUGCUGCAACUCACAAUUUAUAAUUGGGUUGCGUAUUAAUAUCUAAAAAAGGCAAUAAAAUCCACUGUGAGUUUAAAAAAAAAAUAGUAAGUAGGAGUAUUACAAGCUGAGCAGUGAAAAUCUGGAAGACUUCUUGGCUAGAGCAAGGCUGUGUGCAGUGUUGUUUCUCCUGUAUUAAUUACAAGCAAUUUUAAAUCAUCUCCUUCCUUCAAGGAAGGAUUUUGUUCAGCAUUUGUGUUAAUUUUAAUCUUGCUAAUGUGAUACUCUCUUGGAACCUCUCCCUUGUGUCAUAACAGUGAGACAUGCUGCCUCUUUUGUCCCUGCCCUUUGGGAAACACAGUUACUGCUGCUCAUUGCCUCAACCCUGCUGUCGUGACUAUCAGUACCCCUCCCUUGAAAGGAAAAGAAACCAAAACCCCACAGCAGCAUUGUUCUUCCCCCCGCCAGAGUUCACUUUUAUUUGUAGUAUUUAAGCUAGACUGUGCAAGUGCCUCAUGAAAAUCGGGGGUUUAAAAUGUAUGGUGCUGUAUUAGAGUGGAAAGCUUGUUAUUCAGCACACUAAUUAUUUCUGAGUCACUGUAUUUAUGAAAUGUCAUGUAAUAACUACUUCACUACCACGCAAAAUAAAUAGUGCAAAAGCAGGCACUUUAUGAUUUUGACAUUUUAGUGUAUUAACAUAUUCCCGAGUCUCUCUGGGGGCUACUGGGAAUCAGAUAAUGUUUUUAUGACUUCUAAAAAAAUGACAUUGAAUUUCAUAAUCUGUAACACUCCAUAUAUAUCAUUAAUGUUGUGCAUUUUAUUACAGCCUCAGUGGCUUAU